rfam:Procavia capensis cont1.341769, whole genome shotgun sequence.
GGCGGGGCCGAGGUGCCAAGCCCGCGAGGGGAGGGGCGGUGAGGGUCACGUGACGCGGCUUCACUGUUUACACGCGGAGCGGCCGAGCGUUCGGCUUUCGGCCUCAGUCAGGCGCUCCGCUCCGUUUCGGUU